rnacentral:rRNA from 1 species
UGUGGGGUGACGGCGUGCCUAUCGAAAAAUGAGUCUGCGAGUCAGUGGCAUGUGGCGAGCAUAACCCGUGUGGGGUAUGCGUAGCGAAGGCGAGUCUUAAAAGGCGUUUGAGUCGCGUGUCCUGGACCCGAAGCGGGAUGAUCUAGCCCUGAGCAGGUUGAAGCGCGGGUAAGACCGCGUGGAGGACCGAACCCACCUGGGUUGAAAACCGGGGGGAUGACCUGGGGCUAGGGGUGAAAGGCCAAUCAAAUUCCGUGAUAGCUGGUUCUCUCCGAAAUGCAUUUAGGUGCAGCGUCGGUUGAUUGCAUCGCGGGGGUAGAGCUACUGGAUGCUUGCGGGCCCGUAUCGGGUACCAACAGCAACCAAACUCCGAAUACCGGUGACGCGUAUCCCGGCAGUGAGUCGGCGGGGGAUAAGCUCCGUCGUCGAGAGGGAGACAGCCCAGAUCGUCGUCUAAGGUCCCGAAGCGUGUGCUAAGUGGGAAAGGAUGUGGAGUCGCAUAGACAGCCAGGAGGUUGGCUCAGAAGCAGCCAUCCUUGAAAGAGUGCGUAACAGCUCACUGGUCUAGUGGUUCCGCGCCGACAAUGUAGCGGGGCUCAAGCACACCACCGAAGACGCGGCAGUAUUUUGUACUGGGUAGGAGAGCGUCCCAUGAGGGGCGAAGCGGCCGUGUGAACGCGCCGUGGACUUCAUGGGAGUGAGAAUGCAGACAUGAGUAGCGAGAGACGGGUGAAGAUCCCGUCCGCUGGAUGACCAAGGGUUCCGGGGCCACGUUCGUCGUCCCCGGGUGAGUCGGGUCCUAAGGCGAGGCCGACAGGCGUAGUCGAAUGGAUGAACGGGUCGAUAUUCCCGUACCGGCUUUCAGCCGCCAAAACCGAGGCUUGGAGUACUAACCUCCGGGUCCGGGCUUACUGCUCCUUCGGGGGCGGGAUGCCCUGGCCUGUUGGGACCGAUCCUUGUAGUAGGUCAGCGCAGGAGUGACGCAGAAGGGUAGCCGGCCGCGGAGGUGGUCUUCCGUGGUCAAGCACGCAGGGCGUGGGACAGGCAAAUCCGUCCCGCAUGGGUCCGAGGUGCGAUGAUGGGGGCCUUAUGGCCCGAUAUCCGGUGAUCCCGGCUGCCGAGAAAAGCUUCGGCGUCAGGCUCAAAGCCGCCCGUACCCCAAACCGACACUGGUGGUCAGGUAGAGAAUACCAAAGCGAUCGAGCGAAUCCUGGUCAAGGAACUCGGCAAAUCACUCCCGUGCCUUCGGUAUAAGGGAGACCCCCGGGCGUGAAGAGGCUUGCCCUCGGAGCGUUGGGGGGUGGCACAGACCAGGGGGUAGCGACUGUUUACCAAAAACACAGGUGCAUGCGAAGGCGCAAGCCGCUGUAUAUGCACUGACGCCUGCCCGGUGCCGGAAGGUUAAGAGGAUCCGUCAGCCUUCGGGUGAAGCGGUGAAUUCAAGCCCCGGUAAACGGCGGUGGUAACUAUAACCAUCCUAAGGUAGCGAAAUUCCUUGUCGGGUAAGUUCCGACCUGCACGAAUGGCGUAACGACUUCCCCACUGUCUCGACCAGGAGCUCGGCGAAAUUGCAGUACGAGUAAAGAUGCUCGUUAAGCGCAGAAGGACGAAAAGACCCCGGGACCUUUACUAUACCUUGGUAUUGGCAUUCGGUGUGGAUUGUGUAGCAUAGGCGGGAGGCUUCGAAGCGCGGGCGCCAGCCCGUGUGGAGCCGCAAGGUGAAAUACCGCUCUGUUCUCGUUUGACGUCUCACCUCGAACAGUCAUCCUGUUCAGGGACAGUGCCUGGCGGGUAGUUUAACUGGGGCGGUUGCCUCCCAAAGAGUAACGGAGGCGCUCAAAGGUCCGCUCAGCCCGGUUGGCAAUCGGGUUUCGAGUGUAAUCGCACAAGCGGGCUUGACUGCGAGAACGACGGUUCGGGCAGGGACGAAAGUCGGAGAUAGUGAUCCGGUGCCGGCGCACGGGCGCGGCAUCGCUCAACGGAUAAAAGGUACCCCGGGGAUAACAGGCUGAUCAUUCCCAAGAGUCCAUAUCGACGGGAUGGUUUGGCACCUCGAUGUCGGCUCGUCGCAUCCUGGGGCUGGAGCAGGUCCCAAGGGUUCGGCUGUUCGCCGAUUAAAGCGGCACGCGAGCUGGGUUCAGAACGUCGUGAGACAGUUUGGUCUCUAUCCUCUGCGCUCGUUGGAAUCCUGAGGAGGCCUGCCCAUAGUACGAGAGGACCUGGGUGGACG